AACGAACGCUGGCGGCAGGCCUAACACAUGCAAGUCGAGCGAGAUCUUCGUGUCUAGCGGCGGACGGGGGUGUAACGCGGCGGAAUAUUCCUCUUGGUAUGGAAUACUCUCUUGAAGUUGGGAGUAAUACCGGGUGUGCUCUGCUGGUGCAGGAUUUAUCGCCCGGGUAUUAGCCCGCGUUGGUUUAGGUAGUUGGGGGGGUAAUGGCCUAUCAAGGCGUGGAUCCAUAGCUGGUUUGAGAGAAAGAUCAGCCACACUGGGACUGGGACGCGGCCGAGAAUCUUACGCAAGGGGGGAGUGGGGAAUCUUGGACUAUGGCGUCAGUCCUGAUGUCGCUAUGGUGGGUGAGUGAUGAAGGCGGUAGAGUUGUAAAGCUCUUUAAGCUGGGAAGAUACUGACGGUACCAGCAGAAGAAGCCCCGGCUAACUCCGUG
rnacentral:rRNA from 1 species